GGAGUUAGCCGGUGCUUCUUCUGUGAGUGAUGUCCUUCCUGCCGGCUAUUAACCCGCAGGCCUUCUUCCUCACUGAAAGUGCUUUACAACCCGAAGGCCUUCUUCACACACUCGGCAUGGCUGGAUCAGGGUUGCCCCCAUUGUCCAAUAUUCCCCACUGCUGCCUCCCGUAGGAGUCUGGGCCGUGUCUCAGUCCCAGUGUGGCUGAUCAUCCUCUCAGACCAGCUACGGAUCGUCGCCUUGGUGAGCCGUUACCUCACCAACCAGCUAAUCCGACAUAGGCUCAUCCGAUAGCGCGAGGCCCGAAGGUCCCCCGCUUUCCCCCGUAGGGCGUAUGCGGUAUUAGCCUGGGUUUCCCCAGGUUAUCCCCCACUACCGGGCAGAUUCCUAUGCAUUACUCACCCGUCCGCCGCUCGCCACCAGGGAGCAAGCUCCCCGUGCUGCCGCUCGACUUGCAUGUGUUAGGCCUGCCGCCAGCGUUCAAUCUGAGCCAGGAUCAAACUCUGA
rnacentral:rRNA from 1 species